rnacentral:rRNA from 1 species
GACGAACGCUGGCGGCGUGCUUAACACAUGCAAGUCGAACGAUGAAGAAGAGAAACGCGAACUUCGGUUCAAAUUUCACUUCGGAUUAGUGGCAGACGGGUGAGUAACGCGUGAGCAACCUACCUCUUACAAAGGGAUAGCCUCGGGAAACCGUGAUUAAUACCAUAUGACACAUUCAUAAGGCAUCUUAAGAAUGUUAAAGCUACGGCGGUAAGAGAUGGGCUCGCGUCCCAUUAGCUAGUUGGUGAGGUAACGGCCCACCAAGGCGACGAUGGGUAACCGGGCUGAGAGGGUGAACGGUCACAUUGGAACUGAGACACGGUCCAAACUCCUACGGGAGGCAGCAGUGGGGAAUAUUGCAAAAUGGAGGGAACUCUGAUGCAGCGACGCCGCGUGAGCGAUGAAGGAAUUCGUUUCGUAAAGCUCUGUUCUAUGGGAAGAAAAGGACUGUACCAUAGGAGAAAGCCCCGGCUAAAUACGUG